GGAUUGGGCAGCACUGGGAGGGGCCAAAGAAAGAGUAAUGGGUGGCGGUGAAUAUGAUCAAAAUACUUUAGCUAGCUUCGUUGAAUGCCAUAACAGAACUCCUUAUAUAAAUUAAUAUAGCUAGUUAGAAGUAAGACAGAGAAGAAUAUUCCUGGGUAAAGAAAGCUUGUAAGUCUCAAUCUGUGGCUAAGAAGGGCCUGGAUUUGGUCAAGGAGAGGUGGAAAGUCUCUCCAAAUUGAGCACUAACGGGGAUGCAAGCGUAUUUUGUAUCCUAAAUUAUGGGCCACAUGAGACCAGCUGCCCCUCACAUUUCCUCCUUGGUAAGACAUUUUCUAUAAUAUGGGGGCAUUGUGGCAGCAGAAAGGCUUCUUGGCUGAGUAUGAAACAGAACCCAGGAACCCCCAUUGUCGCAAGUGGGAUGUCUCAUGAUGCCACAUGCUAGUGACUGACGAUGAUACAUCCUUCGGGGGGGGGAGGGUCAAGAACCUGGCAGGCUGUCUGGGGCCUUUCUCUCACAAGGAAAUUACAGCCCACACUUAGUGCUCACUCUGCCAGGCACGAUGCGUUAGAUAUUUCCUACGUCAUUUGCCGAGUGGGCUUAUGAGUAACAGUGACUAUUUUGAGUGUUCACAGUGUACUCGUCAGGUAGUGUUAAUACCAUGCCUCAUUUAACCCUCACCGGACUCCUCCUAUGUAAGACAGUCUCACCAUCAUCCUAUGUCUCCCACUUUCACCUGAGCUGAGCAAUUGUUCAGGGUCAGAGGGAUCAUUUGCUGAUCCUGUUGGCUAUACCACACUUCCUUAUUGCAACAGUGCUGUGGGAUGCCCUUCUGUAUGUUGUGAAUAGUAUUGCUUUUACUGGUUGAUAAAUAAAGCUGAUUUGGCCAAUGGCCAGGCAGAAUUGAGCCGGGCAAGAAAUCCAAACAAGAUAUGGAGAGAAAGAAGGUGGAGUCAGGGAGACACCAUAUAGCCGCCGGAGAAGCAAGUUUUUGGUCCACAAAAUGGCUCAGCUGACAAAGCGCCUGUCACCGACAAUGCAAGCCUAAAGACCUGAGUUUGACCUCUGGGGUCAACAUUAAGGUGGAAGGAGAAGACAGGCUCCACAAAUCCGACCCUUCACCUACAAAUGUGUGCUGCCGUAUAUACAACCCCCCUACACAUAUACACAAUAGUAACGACAAACUCAUUAUUUCCCGCUUUUGACUGUUUGAGAUCUACCGCAAUGAGCACCCUGCCACAGGCUUUGUUGGGAACAUCCACAUGUGUUUCUCUAGGAUAGAAGUUGACUCAAGGGAAAGAUCACCUCAGAUUUCGGUUUACAAGACCAAAUCGUCUUUCCACGUGGGUGUUGCAAUGUACAGUUCCAGCAGUGAGGAAGAAUUAAUGACAACGAAUGGCAGGUACACAGAGUUGGGGGGAGACUGUGUCCUUUUGAAUAGGAUUCUCCAGGUGGAUCUCAUUGGCCAGAUGGGAUUUGAGAAGAGGCCCAAGGAGGAGCAGAGACCCAUGGUUCCUGGAGGGAAGCAUUCCAGAUGGAAGGCUCAGCAGGCACAAAGGCUCUGAGGUGGCAGCCUGGUUGUUUGGGGACAUGGAGGUCACAUUGGGUGGGACAGAAGGAGCGUGUGCUUGGGAGGUAGAGAAGGGAGAUGGUGCAGAUGGUGACAGGGCCUUGAUGCCAGGGUGAGAACCUUGGCUUUUAUGCCGAGUGCAAGAGGGAGAUGGCAAAGCUCUCAGGAUCAAUGUGAUUCGACCUCAGGUAAAAGAUGAAAUAAUUAUCAAGACAAAAUUGACACAUAAUAAAAUGCCACUUAAACCACA